AGAGUUUGAUCAUGGCUCAGAUUGAACGCUGGCGGCAUGCUUUACACAUGCAAGUCGAACGGUAACGCGGGGGCAACCCUGGCGACGAGUGGCGAACGGGUGAGUAAUACAUCGGAACAUGUCCUGGAGUGGGGGAUAGCUCGGCGAAAGCCGGAUUAAUACCGCAUACGCUCUGAGGAGGAAAGCGGGGGACUCGUAAGGGCCUCGCGCUGCAGGAGUGGCCGAUGUCGGAUUAGCUAGUUGGUGAGGUAAAGGCUCACCAAGGCGACGAUCCGUAGCUGGUCUGAGAGGAUGAUCAGCCACACUGGGACUGAGACACGGCCCAGACUCCUACGGGAGGCAGCAGUGGGGAAUUUUGGACAAUGGGGGCAACCCUGAUCCAGCCAUGCCGCGUGAGUGAAGAAGGCCUUCGGGUUGUAAAGCUCUUUCGGACGGAACGAAAUGGUUACAGUGAAUAACUGUGAUUGAUGACGGUACCGUAAGAAGAAGCACCGGCUAACUACGUGCCAGCAGCCGCGGUAAUACGUAGGGUGCGAGCGUUAAUCGGAAUUACUGGGCGUAAAGCGUGCGCAGGCGGUUCGCCAAGUCAGGUGUGAAAUCCCCGGGCUUAACCUGGGAAUUGCGCUUGAAACUAGCGGGCUUGAGUGUGGCAGAGGGGGGUGGAAUUCCACGUGUAGCAGUGAAAUGCGUAGAGAUGUGGAGGAACACCGAUGGCGAAGGCAGCCCCCUGGGUCAACACUGACGCUCAUGCACGAAAGCGUGGGGAGCAAACAGGAUUAGAUACCCNNGUAGUCC
rnacentral:rRNA from 1 species